CCCUUAAUGAAAUAUAACCUUAUACAGGGAUGGAUUUACUGGGGGGUGCACACACCCCCCUAGCCCUGGCCAGAGGGGGGUGGGGUGGGGGGGGUGCUAUAUUUUAUGAUAAAGCAAAAAAGACAAAAUGAGAUACAGUAAUUUGAGUAAUAACAUGAGGAUAAGUGAACUGUGAACAACAAUUACAAUUCAAAUACAGUAGUUGAUGGGCGGGCGGCACACAUGACGACACAACUUGGCAGUCGGCACCAGAGCACCCCCCCCCCCUACCAAAUCAUGCUGGAUCCAUCCCUGACCUUAUAUGCUGUUAGAUAGAGUAAUAUAAUGAAAGGGCAGUAGGCAAGUAGGGCAAAUUGAAGUUUUGUACUGUAAUGCUCCUCAAAAUGUAAGACAGUAAAGCUGGAUGAAUGUAAAAUAUCACAUUUAUUACCAUUUAGACUGCAAAUGGUAAUGUAAAUUAGCUGUGCCGAGCUCUGCACUUAUUACAUUACUCUGUCCAGUACAAGGUGACUUUACAGUGUUCUUUUUUUAUAUAAACAAUACUAAAAUGUUCUUCAACAAUGAGUUCGUCAUCUAGCAUGUAGUGUCAGUAUAUAUUUUCUUUUCCUUAUGCAAGUCAAAGGCUACAAGAAAUACACAACCUGGCAAACAUCUGCCCAAGGUUCAUUUUUAUCAGCCAAUAAAAAGACCAUUUCUUGCUGAUGAUUCCUUUCCGAUAAUGAAUCUUGAAUGAAGAUCAUCUAGCGUCACCAAUGAAUGGUUUGUUACAUAUAGCCCUCGUCAACAUAAUCCUAAGGAGGAAUUGAUAUUAUUAAUGAAU